rnacentral:rRNA from 1 species
AUUGAACGCUGGCGGUAGGCCUAACACAUGCAAGUCGAGCGGAAGCAGAGUGCUUGCUUGCUGUUUCAGCGGCGGAGGGGUGAGUAAUGCCUGGGAACCUCCCUGGCAGCGGGGGCGAAGGUCCGGACACGGGCGCAAUUACCCUAAUAGCCCUGAGGAACAAAGGGGGGAAUCUUCGGAUCUUACGACCUCACAUGAGCCAAGGUCGGAUUAGCUAGUUGGUGGGGUAACGGCCUAACAAGGCGACGAUCCGAAACUGGUCUGAGAGGAUGAUCAGUCACACUGGAACUGAGACACGGUCCAGACUCCUACGGGAGGCAGCAGUGGGGAAUAUUGGACAAUGGGCGAAAGCCUGAUCCAGCCAUACCGCGUGUGUGAAGAAGGUCUUCGGGUUGUAAAGCACUUUAGGUUGGGAGGAAAAGCAGUAGGUUAAUACCUUGCUGUUUUGACGUUACCAACAGAAUAAGCACCGGCUAACUUCGUG